GGUGGUGUUCCUGAGUUGUGUGGCGUGAGAGAUGCUUUUUUUUUUUGAGAAUGUGAGAAAGGCCAAUUAGAUCCGGGACGUGCAUGAUGAUGUCAAGGAAAGGCCCAUGAUCAAUAUUCAAUCGCCCUGCAGCCUUCUGGUUCCUUCCGGCCUUUUCCCCUUGCUGCAGGACACAAGGGCGAAAAGGAGGCGGCUCGGUUUGCCGGCGGCGAUUCGGCCGCUCCCUUCCGUCUCCAGCGGCCUGGAAGGCGCCGGAGAUGGAGGAGGAACGGCGAAUCGACGUGCGGCUGUGAAUAGACUAGGUAGUUUUGUAUCUAGUUCUCCGUUUUCCUCACUGUCGAUGGCGACGGCGGUGGAUCGAAUAAGGUCGCCGGGUGCUCCUUUGCUCGCGGCGAUGGUCUUGCUCCUCUAAGGUGCCUUUGCUGUUGGUGGCAGCGUCGUUGAAGCCACCUCUAUGCAAGGGUUACGGCGGAGGGUAUGCUUUCUCCUGCCCUUUUCUGGUGGUGGUGGCGCCGUCGCCACUAUUCCCGGGGUUGGUCGUGGGAGUCUUUUGUUCCUCCUUGGCGGCCUCUCUGUUGAAGGCAAUACUCUCGGCGUCUUCUCCGGCGAGCCACGGGUGAGAUUUCUUCUUCCUUUGAGCGCGGCAAGAGAUGGCCGAUGCCCUUUCAAAGGAAUCAGAUGCGUCGCGGCGGAUGGUUGGCGGCGUUGGCUCUUGCGGCAUGUCCAAGGUUGGAAGUCUCUCGUCCUACUCGGGGGAAGAUUUGGCUCCGAUUCCGGCGUUUUCCAUCAGCGGCGGUCAUCGGAGAGGAAGAAGAAGCUGGGGACCUGUUUCGGGGGCUUCGAUGUAAUAUUUAGUUUUGUCAAGGUCCUUUCUGUACAACUGGGGGAUGUACUGUACUUCACUUUAAUAUAAUCUACCCCUUUCGUAAAAAAAAGCAUUCAAUCGCCCUA